CAAAAAAAUUCAGAUUUUUACCUUUCAAUGGAUGAUGAUUUAUAGAACUUUAAGGAAUAACUAGAUUCACAAGAUACUGGCAUGCUCAGGAUUAACAAGAAUUAAUUUCUGGGACUGAAUAAACUGAAGAUACUAUAAUUUGACACAAUUUGGAAGCUGGCAUUGUUAAUCAGGGCUUUGACUAAAUGUCAUAUUUGAAAGAGCCAUACAGAGACUCAGACGUCACCAGAAAGCUUUAAGGCAUUAAGAUUAACUUUGAAAGCCAAUAAACACCCCUUGGAAAACAGCCUGGUGCCUUGCUCACUCAAGUCACAGCAGUCUGUUAAGGGCUGGAAAUUGCUGGAAGCAAGAACAGAACUAACUGCUCCCUACAGCCACAGGCAGAAGAUACACUGGAAUAAACUGCAGCCUGUGUUACAACAUCGCAACAGCCCAGGGGACACACAACAGCAACCCUCCACCCUUUUUAAUCCAGUAAUAAUCCAGUAAAAGCUCAAAACCCCUACCCCUCAAGCCUGGCUCUCCAAACCAUGCCCCUCUCCUUUCUUGGAGAAUGAAUAAAAACUUUGCUCUC